CUUGCAGGAAACCGACCAAUAAAUACGCGACUGUAAAAAUCAGAGUCAAUGUUGUAUGUCCAGCUUGUAGUUUAGCAAUAAUGUUUAGAAAUAUAAGAUGACCAGGUAUGGCUAAGGCUAGCAACACUCUGGCAGCUCUUGCAUUUUGACCUACAGGAAAGAACCAAGACAAAUGAAUGUUAUGAACUUUAUUUAUACUGGAUAGCUCUAUCAGUUUUAAACUGUUCUCCCUAGAGAUCCAGUAACAAUGAUCUCUUGUUGAUCUAGUGUUACUACAAGAGGAAACCUAAACUAACUUUAUUUAUGCUGGAUAGCUCUAUCAGUUCUAAACUUUUCUUCCUAGAGGUCCAGUAAUGAUCAUCUCUUAUUGAUCCAGUGUUACUACAGGAGGAAACCUAAACUAAACUAACUUCAUUUAUACUGGAUAGCUCUAUCAGUUCUAAACUUUUCUUCCUAGAGGUCCAGUAAUGAUCAUCUCUUAUUGAUCCAGUGUUACUAC